UACGUAGGGUGCAAGCGUUUGUCCGGAAUUAUUGGGCGUAAAGAGCUCGUAGGCGGUUUGUCGCGUCUGCUGUGAAAACGCGAGGCUCAACCUCGCGCCUGCAGUGGGUACGGGCAGACUAGAGUGCGGUAGGGGAGAUUGGAAUUCCUGGUGUAGCGGUGGAAUGCGCAGAUAUCAGGAGGAGCACCGAUGGCGAAGGCAGAUCUCUGGGCCGUAACUGACGCUGAGGAGCGAAAGCGUGGGGAGCGAACAGG
rnacentral:rRNA from 1 species